GGUGCAACCCUCCCGGGUGAUGGCCUGUCGGCAGAUACCACAGGGCUUCACCUUCUUGAAGGUCUUCACCUUGAAGUGGUGCCGGAACAGUGUGAUCCCUAAAGAAGGAGCGAAUUGAAUGGAGUGGAUGCCUGGCCUCAGUUCCCCCAUGUCAUUGUACUGACCUGCCCUCGGGGAGAGGACACAGGUCACCCCCUUCACCAGCCACCGAUCCAAGCUCAGAAGAAAGCUCUCUGACUCUGGCCUCUCUCUGCCCUGCUCGGCUCCUUCACAAACCACAUCCCAACGCUCCUGAUCAACAAGUCCCAGGUCCCUUUUUGUGCCCACCCUUCCCGGGGUGAAAGGACACAGGGAUGGGAUAGUCUGAGCCACAUUCAUGGGCUGGUGCCACGGCAAGAGGCUGCCACGGAGUCCCUCACGGACCCCUCACAGUGAUGAUGAGGUGAGGAGCUUACUCCAGACACACAGGUAGGGCAGGAUGGAACAAAGAUUCGAAUCCAGGUCUGACUGGGGCAAGGUCCCAAGUCCCUAGCCACCUCACUGCCAUCAUCUGUAACAGUGUGCCGGAAGUGGCCCGUCCUGGCCGUCUCUAGGAGCCCUGACAGUCACAUCGUCAGUGCCCCUCUACCCAAAGGCCAUAUCCUGGCUAGUUGACCCUGUCCUAUCCAUCCACAACUAUCUUCAUUUGCUGUACUUGGACUUCCGAGCUCUCAGCUUCACCUCUGCAUUAAAGGCCUCCCAAGAGGCCUUUCCUAACACCUCUG